CUGGGACCUGGAGAGAGGUCUUCUGGGUUUCUGUUUCUUUCCGGAGGAUGAGACUCACCCAGGGAACCCCUUUUCCACAAU
rnacentral:miRNA from 1 species